UGAACGCUGGCGGCGUGCCUAAUACAUGCAAGUCGAGCGAACGGACGAGAAGCUUGCUUCUCUGAUGUUAGCGGCGGACGGGUGAGUAACACGUGGAUAACCUACCUAUAAGACUGGGAUAACUUCGGGAAACCGGAGCUAAUACCGGAUGAUAUUUUGAACCGCAUGGUUCAAAAGUGAAAGACGGUCUUGCUGUCACUUAUAGAUGGAUCCGCGCUGCAUUAGCUAGUUGGUAAGGUAACGGCUUACCAAGGCAACGAUGCAUAGCCGACCUGAGAGGGUGAUCGGCCACACUGGAACUGAGACACGGUCCAGACUCCUACGGGAGGCAGCAGUAGGGAAUCCUCCGCAAUGGGCGAAAGCCUGACGGAGCAACGCCGCGUGAGUGAUGAAGGUCUUCGGAUCGUAAAACUCUGUUAUUAGGGAAGAACAUAUGUGUAAGUAACUGUGCACAUCUUGACGGUACCUAAUCAGAAAGCCACGGCUAACUACGUG
rnacentral:rRNA from 1 species